rnacentral:rRNA from 1 species
AUUGAACGCUGGCGGCAGGCUUAACACAUGCAAGUCGAGCGGGGGAAGGUAGCUUGCUACCGGACCUAGCGGCGGACGGGUGAGUAAUGCUUAGGAAUCUGCCUAUUAGUGGGGGACAACAUCUCGAAAGGGAUGCUAAUACCGCAUACGUCCUACGGGAGAAAGCAGGGGAUCUUCGGACCUUGCGCUAAUAGAUGAGCCUAAGUCGGAUUAGCUAGGUGGUGGGGUAAAGGCCUACCAAGGCGACGAUCUGUAGCGGGUCUGAGAGGAUGAUCCGCCACACUGGGACUGAGACACGGCCCAGACUCCUACGGGAGGCAGCAGUGGGGAAUAUUGGACAAUGGGGGGAACCCUGAUCCAGUCAUGCCGCGUGUGUGAAGAAGGCCUUAUGGUUGUAAAGCACUUUAAGCGAGGAGGAGGCUACUUUAGUUAAUACCUAGAGAUAGUGGACGUUACUCGCAGAAUAAGCACCGGCUAACUCUGUGCCAGCCGCCGCCGUAA